CGAAAGUAGCCGUUAAACGGAAAGGGCCGCCAUUUUGUGGGAGCUAUGGGACUAAGAUCUGUGCUACUAUUUCAAAGACGCAAAAUAAGCUCUUUGAUUAUGAAAACAUCAACAUAUGUAGAAAAGUAUUCUAUGGAGAAUAGUGGAUUUUCUUAGGCUUGAAGCUACUUUAUCCUAAAGGUCAUAGAAGCUGAAAUCCAGGUAGAAGUUGAGAUGUGUUUCACCCCUGGUCCCCAGUUCCUAAUUCCUAACAUACAUUAAGCAGAUGGAAUGUCUUGAAUUGGGAUAGGAUGGAGACCCAAGCCUGUAGGCGGAAGACUGAGUUCCUUUUUACAGUGCCUAUUGCAAAAACAGUGAUAAGAAGUAAAUGCAUCAAACAAGCUUAUCUGGAAUCUACCUGAAUGAAGUUGCAGUGUGCCUCCAUUAAUGAAUAUCAGAUCAAUAAUUAAUAAUGAAAUAUAAAUGAAAACCUUUCUUGCAAUUAAAUGUUUAUAACAAUUAUAUGUACACUGGCUUUGCUAUAUUCAAAGUUUGAUGUUCUCAAAUGGUUCUUAUGUCAUGGGAUCUUAUGUGGCUCUUGAGAAUGAAGAUUAAAGCAAUGUUUCAGAAUAAAACUUUAUAAUGUAUUCUUACUAAAGAAAGU